rnacentral:rRNA from 1 species
AGAGUUUGAUCCUGGCUCAGAACGAACGUUGGCGGCGUGGAUUAGGCAUGCAAGUCGAACGAAUCCCAGAGGGCUUGCUUUCUGGGGGAAGUGGCGAAAGGGGCAGUAAGGCGUGGGUAACCUACCUCGGGGACGGGGAUAGCCUUUCUAACGAAAGGGUAAUACCUGGCGAUUUGACGGGGCGGCAUCGUCCUGUCAGGAAAUGAGUUUCGCCUCGAGAGGGGCUCACGUAGUAUUAGCUUGUUGGUGAGGUAACGGCUCACCAAGGCCAAGAUGCUUAGCGGGUGUGAGAGCACGACCCGCGCCACUGGCACUGAGACACUGGCCAGACUCCUACGGGAGGCUGCAGUCGAGGAUCUUCGGCAAUGGGCGCAAGCCUGACCGAGCGACGCCGCGUGUGCGAUGAAGGCCUUCGGGUUGUAAAGCACUGUCGAGAGAAAGAAAGCCGCAAGGUUGAUCGAUCUCUGGAGGAAGCACGGGCUAAGUUCGUGCCAGCAGCCGCGGUAAGACGAAC